rnacentral:SRP_RNA from 1 species
GGGCGGGUCCGGCGCGGCGGAGCCCUUCGAACCCCGUCAGGGCCGAAAGGCAGCAGCGGUAAGGAGGAGCCUCUGGGCGCCGCCGGGUGCCUGCCCGGC